rnacentral:lncRNA from 1 species
CCUCAGGCCCAAGGUCCUCAGUCUCCCUCCUCGUCCGGCCCACCGGGGAGGGGAGUCUGCCUCCGCUGCCCCCGGAGGGGCCGAGGAUCUGGGUCCCUUCCCCCUCCCCCGGGCUCCGUGGGGCCCCUUCCUCCCUCUGGGGGCUCGGACACCCGGGAGCCGAGGCUUCGCACGUGAGGCUUGGCGGAGGGGUAUUUAUUGCUAAAGGAAGCAUUUAACGAAGGGGGCGGGCCGGGGUCCUGGGCCCCGAUCUUCCAGUCCCGCCCUCCGGAUCUUGGCUCAUUUUUUAAAAAGAUAUUUGUCUGACUUCCCGAUGCCCGAGGUGUGUGUGGAUUCCUUCUGAGGUCUGGCCAGCGGGGAGCAGGAGAAGGUCCCAGGUGCCCAGGCCCGGCCAGGCUCCUGGGUGCUACCAUGCGGCCGACUGCAGGCAGAGAGGCAACCACCUGGAAAGAGGCGGGCGCUGGGCGUACCCGCCCCGGGUGCUGGUGGCAACCUCCGGCCUCAGCCGCCUUCCCCGGCCCCGGAGGCGCGGCUCGGGCAGGGGAGGCAGCACACCAGGCGGAGGCCCCUUGACCCCAGACCCGGCAGCCUCGCGCCCCGCGAACUUUCAAUGACAGUUUGGGCCUUUCUUCAGGGAAACAGCUUUUUUCUGGGAGAAGUGGAUGAGCCCCCCAAUGACCCAGAGUGAAUGAGGAGGUCCUGGAGCCUCCGGCCGCCCCCUCUCCCCGCGGGACUAUUUAUUGCUCAGGACUGUGACAGUUCUCUCGAGGGCUACUGUGAACCCUCCGCUCCAGGGACCUCCCCCACCCUCAGGGCUAUCCGGAGCCAGCCCUCAGCAGCCCCCACCCCAGGGGCCCCGGAUCGGGGAGGGGAGGAGCCAGCCGGGGCUCUAAGCAGGCCGGGGGGGACUCGAAGGCCCUUCGGCCCGGGCCCGGCCCGGCCCCGCAUCGAGGAUUGACUGAACUGGGACACCGGCGCUAGACUUGGCCCCACUUGGUGGGCCCCAAAGACCCCCGACCCAGGGGGCCGUUUUCUCCCUCUUCGUUCGGAAAGGUUGGGCUGAGGAGGGGGACCGGGUCAGCUUUUUUUCCUUUUCACUUCCCAAUCCCACCCUGGGGACGACCCAGGGAAAACUUACCGUUUACAUCGAUCCUGAGGGGGAGGACUGAAUGGUGCUGAUGGAGAGAAGGAAAAAAGGGGGGCCGGGGGAGGAGGCGCUUCUCAGCCAGCGGCUCAGGUCGUGGCAGGCAGGGCGGAUGUGACUGUUGGCUUUAAUAUUCAGAAAUGAAAAAAAUUUACAAAAAAAAAAAAAAGGUGUACAGUAUUUUUCCUGUAAAGGUUAUUAUUCUAUGUAGAACAAAAGAUAAAAGGAAAAAAAAAAGGCUGGGGUGCUGGAGGGGACUGGCCCGCCUUCCGGCCUGGCCCCCGAGGGGGGGACCGUGUGCAAUCUCUCUGGAGGGUUUCCUUUAGCAUUUCUUUUAGAGGCCUUAACACUUUGAGGCUGCCUGUCUUCACGCUAGCACUGACAAGGACUCUUGACUUGAAUUUUGUAGCGGGAGGGGAAGAGGAAUAGCGUUAAUGAGGUUUGUAGUUAAUUUAACGUGGGGGGGCUCCCUCAUUACUCGUGUGUGGCUUCUGGAGGCUCCCCCCGUUUUCUAGUUUUGGCCCCGCUUUGCCGCCGGAGCCCUCGAGUGGUCCCCAGUCCACGCUCCUCCCCUAACCCCGAGGGGGAAGAGGCCGGGACCCCCGAGCAAUAGAGGAGGGGGCUCGGGCCCAGCCCGGCCUCCCUGCGCGGCUCAGCCGCCGUCUCAUUUAUGGUUGGGUGGGAGCUAGUUGGCCCCGCUCCCAAGGCCACUCCCUCCCCCAGACCCACAUUUAUUCACCCCUUAACAAUGGUUUGGUGAUGGUGGAUUUUUAACUGAAAAUUGGGGGGAAAAAAAAAAAAAAAAAAAAAGCCAGAUAGAAGGCAUCCAAGCAGCUGGUUCCUAGGCCCGGAGAGAAAGGCAAAGGGCGGGAGGAGAGCUCAGAGGGAGUAUUAGCGAUCAAACCGCAAAACCCAUUAGACCCCCCUCCCCCACCCGGGCCCCCCACCCAAAGGCUCCUCCCGGGCUCUGAGACCGCCUCCGGCCGCCGAAGACCAGCGAGCUCCACCGCCCGUCGCCGCCGCCGCGUUCUAAGCCACGAAAACUGGAUUCGGUCGUGGAAGGAGUUGUGUAAAGAGAAAAAUCAGAAAACGUUUUUCAAUGUAGCAACACACAAAAAAAAAUUUAAAAAGGAAAAAAGCCGAGGACAGAGUGGGAAGUCUAGCCUUUUGUAAUAUAUUGCACAUUAGGACUACAAGCCAUUGCUAGCUCAUUUCGAAUUUUAAUGUGUAAUUUUCGUUUUAUUUUCUUUCUGUGGGGAAAAAUGCUUGAUCCACCAAUGAUCUUUUUAAUGUUUUAUAAGUAUGUAUGUGUAUAUAUAUAAAUAUCAAAUAAUAUGUAUGCACAUAUGUAUGUGUGUGUAUAUAUCUAUAUGUAUAUACAUAUAUAUAGAUAUAUAGAUCUAUAUAGAGGUUUUGAGACAAAAAAAAAUGCAGAAAGUGAAAACUGAACAGAACAGUGUGUGCUCCGAUUACUUGAAUCUGGUCUCCACGGCACCUGCGUUAUUAAGAACUGAAUAUUUUUCCACUUGAAUUUAGUGCUAUUAGAAAUUUAAUAUAUGUGUUUUAUUUAUUUGAUUUUUUUUUUUGCAUGACUGAUGCAAGGUUUGACAUUUUCACUCAAUAAAAACUGGAAAAAAAACGUUCUCAGGUUGUUCCUUAUUUUUCAAGGCCUCCCCACUCCCUUAACCCCAUCCCAAAGAGAGUGACCGGGUGACCUUUGCUGUUGGAGUGUCCGGUCAGGGGUCCCCUCCCCGGGGGAGUGGGAGGGAGGCGGAAGGGGUCAGGGGAGAGAGGAGGAAAGACUGCCAGGGGAUCUGCCAGUUUUAUCUAAGAAGGGACGGCAGCUCUAGAUCCAGAGGUGGUAAGUGUCAGAGGCAGGAUUUGAACCCAGUAUCCUUUCUAGUGUAAC